AAUAUUGCACAAUGGGGGAAACCCUGAUGCAGCGACGCCGCGUGAGCGAUGAAGUAUUUCGGUAUGUAAAGCUCUAUCAGCAGGGAAGAAAAUGACGGUACCUGACUAAGAAGCCCCGGCUAACUACCUCCCAGCAGCCGCGGUAAUACGUAGGGGGCAAGCGUUAUCCGGAUUUACUGGGUGUAAAGGGAGCGUAGACGGCAUGGCAAGCCAGAUGUGAAAGCCCGGGGCUCAACCCCGGGACUGCAUUUGGAACUGUCAGGCUAGAGUGUCGGAGAGGAAAGCGGAAUUCCUAGUGUAGCGGUGAAAUGCGUAGAUAUUAGGAGGAACACCAGUGGCGAAGGCGGCUUUCUGGACGAUGACUGACGUUGAGGCUCGAAAGCGUGGGGAGCAAA
rnacentral:rRNA from 1 species